ensembl:lncRNA
GGGAGAUCUGGGUGGGAAAAGGUUGGUGAGGCCUGGCCAGGCAGGAGGUGGAGGUGUGGAGCCAGAGGAUGGAGUCGGUCGCUUUGCCGAGUAGCUGGAAUCAGCCGUGGAAACUUCCUGAGCCCUUUGUGUUCCAAGGUUCCAGGAGAGGAGUAAGUUCUCCUUCUGUCAUCUGAAAAACUGCACUUGAGCAGUGGAUUCAAGGCCCCUCAGGUCUGUAAACGUCCUAAUCCCCAGGACCUGUGAAGAGGUUACCUUCCACGGUGAAGAAACUGAUGGGCGAGCACCCUGGACUAUUCAGGAGGUCGGACAGUCCUCUGGGGGACACAGGAGGGCCAGCAUCAAGGGCAAAGGUGACCUGAUGAGAGGCAGAAGUUGGCACGAAGUGGCCGUGAGUCCGGGAACGUGGGUACCUCCAGAAGUCGGAGGAGGUGAGGAGCAGAGGCUCUUCUGGACCCUCCAGGAGGAACAAGACAUCUUGACACCUUGAUUUUAGCCCCUUAAGACUUGUUUUGAACUACUGGCCUCCAGAACUGUAAGGGAAUAAGUUUGGGUUGUUUUAAGUUAUGACAUUAGUGGUCAUUUGCUCAGCAGCUGUAGGAAACACACACAGUGAGCAC